GAUGCAACCUUAAUCUGGGUGGACACCAUCCCCUUGGCUGCCAGUGCAGCUAGAAACAGCAGGCAGAAGAAGGUGGAGUGAGCAGACUUGCUGAGUCUUCUGGCCUUUAUCUUUCUCCUGUGCUGGAUGUUUCCUGCCCUCAAACACCAGACUCCAAGUUCUUCGGCUUUUAGGCUCUUGGACUUACACUAGUGGUUUACUAGGGGCCCUUGGGCUUUUGGCCACAGAUUGAAGGCUGCAUUGUCCAUUGCCUGCUUCCCUACUUUUGAGGUGUUGGGACUCGGACUGAACCACUGCUGGCUUCCUUGCUUCUCAGCUUUCAGACAGCCUAUCAUGGGACGUCACCUUGUGAUCAUCUGCAUUUCCACUAAAGGCAGUUUCAUGAAGGCAAAGAUUUUGUCUGCCUCAUCCACUGCUAACAAUAUCUACAGCUCCUGCAACAGUGCC
rnacentral:lncRNA from 1 species